UGCACAAGUUAUUUUGCAUCAAAGAGGGUGUAUCACCCUUGGAGAUGCUGGGAAGUGGAGAUAUUCUUGAGAAAUUCAAGAGUUCUCUACUACUCUACUCUACUGAGUAUCUUUGAGAGUGAGAAACUCUCAUAGAUACUGUAGAGUACAACAUUCACUCCUGGCGGUCCUUAGUUUACUGAUAAGUUCAAUCUAUGAUUUGGCAACUAUUUAUCUACAUUUUGUUGAUACUUCAAAAUUAGAGAUAUUCUUGAGAAAUUCAAGGGUUCUCUGAUGAGUAUGAUUGAGAGUAAGAAACUCUUAUUGAUACUGUAUUGUACAAACGUUCACUCCUGUUCAUUCAGGUAUUGCCUUUGUUUAGUCCAAGUUAAGAUUUGUAAAUCUUCAUCAAAAUUAUAUAAAAUUGCUUUGUUUUACAAUUGCGUUACAAGUUUGUUACAGCUUAGCCUACCUCUAGAAUCCAAGUGCACCAUUGUGGAUAUUUCUCAAAAGGAAUGAAGUGAAACUGAACACAAAUCUAUGUAGAUACAUGUGGAUUAUUAUGGAGAUGCCACCAGCUAUUCAAUGCAUUGGAGAGCAGUUCUUCUACCAAAGUGGACAUGUGGAUCACAGGAUGUGUUUGUUACAGCUUAGCCUACCUCUAGAAUCCAAGUGCACCAUUGUGGAUAUUUCUCAAAAGGAAUGAAGUGAAACUGAACACAAAUCUAUGUAGAUACAUGUGGAUUAUUAUGGAGAUGCCACCAGCUAUUCAAUGCAUUGGAGAGCAGUUCUUCUACCAAAGUGGACAUGUGGAUCACAGGAUGUGGUAUGAGAUAUCUGGUACACAUAUAUUCAGUUAUUAAGACAGGAUAGAAUUCUCUAACACUUCCCUAUUCUAACACAGAUAUCAAGCUAGGGCCGGGAUGUUUAAGGUGGUUACUAUUAUGACACAGUUAAUCCUGACCCUUUCGGCAGUGCCUUGUUCUAUCCGGUUGGUUCUGAGUCCAAUGGGUGCUUUCAAGUUAGAGUCAACUGACCUGCAGAUCGCAUUUCCGCGUGCCAACAACUGGACGAACAUGUGCCACUGUUUGAUUGUGGUUUAUGGAUGGCUGUGGAGUAAGACAAUCACCUUGAAUUGGGUUUGAGUUGUCAGGGUCCACGUAGGAUAUUUGCAGUUGUCGGGUCGAGUAUUUCAUUUCUGAUCAGUGUCCUUUGUGGUGGUCCCACACCUUUUUCAUGAUGGUUGCGGGCUCAGUACAGCACUAAUUUGAUGAGCAGGUGGUAUUGUUACACUGUGGCCUGGUCUGAUCUGUUCUAUGAGACUGGCAAUGCAAAUAUUAGAUUGUAGUGCCUUCAGCAAACUUAGGGAUGGGGGUGUGAGAAUUAUCUGUCUUAAGAAUAAGAAUUGAGAAAUAUACGUUUAUAUCUGAGGCUGGAGUAAUAUUGAGUAUGGCCUCUAGCCUUUGCUAGUUGGCGGGGAAAGGGAAAUUAUAGCCUCUAGCCUUUGCUAGUUGGCGGGGAAAGGGAAAUUAUAGCCUCUAGCCUUUGCUAGUUGGCGG